UACGUAGGUGGCAAGCGUUGUCCGGAUUUACUGGGCGUAAAGAGCGCGCAGGCGGUUGGAUAAGUCGAAUGUGAAAAGCCCCCCGGCUCAACUGGGGGAGGGUCAUUCGAAACUGUCCCAACUCGAAGGCAGGAGAGGGAAGCGGAAUUCCCGGUGUAGUGGUGAAAUGCGUAGAUAUCGGGAGGAACACCAGUGGCGAAGGGCGCUUUCUGGCCUGCCUCUUGACGCUGAGGCGCGAAAGCCAGGGGAGCGAACAGG
rnacentral:rRNA from 1 species